rnacentral:rRNA from 1 species
UACGUAGGGGGCUAGCGUUGUCCGGAAUUAUUGGGCGUAAAGCGCGCGCAGGCGGUUCUUUAAGUCUGAUGUGAAAGCCCACGGCUCAACCGUGGAGGGUCAUUGGAAACUGGGGAACUUGAGUACAGAAGAGGAAAGCGGAAUUCCACGUGUAGCGGUGAAAUGCGUAGAGAUGUGGAGGAACACCAGUGGCGAAGGCGGCUCGCUGGCCUGCAACUGACGCUGAGGCGCGAAAGCGUGGGGAGCGAACAGG